rnacentral:rRNA from 1 species
UACGGGGGGGAGCAAGCGUUGUUCGGAUUUACUGGGCGUAAAGGGCGCGUAGGCGGUCGUGACAAGUCACUUGUGAAAUCUCCGGGCUUAACUCGGAACGGUCAAGUGAUACUGUCGGACUAGAGUACAGAAGGGGCAACUGGAAUUCUCGGUGUAGCGGUGAAAUGCGCAGAUAUCGGGAGGAACACCAAUGGCGAAGGCAGCUCGCUGGGACGUUACGUGACGCUGGAGACGCGAAAGCGUGGGGAGCAAACAGG